rnacentral:ncRNA from 2 species
GUACAUUUGCGUCGUCAUGGUGACUCAUCCUCACACGGAGGAAUGAGUUGAAUAGGGAAUCCGGUGAGAAUCCGGUACUGUACCCUCAGCUGUAUGUUCUUUAAAAAGGGUUUUGCAUUCUUAUGGUCACUUUUUCCUCCGGGAGAAGGGAAGGCCGCAAAAUCCGGAACAAGUCAGAAGACCUGCCUGACCUAUAAUUGCCA